GACGAACGCUGGCGGCGUGCCUAACACAUGCAAGUCGAACGAGACCUUCGGGUCUCGCUGCUCGCGGGCGCGUAACGCGUGGGAACCUGCCCUUAUGUUCCGAAUAACUCCCCGCCCGGGGUUCUAAUACCGGAUGAUGUCCUCGGUCUAAUGCCUUAUCGCCCUUGGGUGGGCCCGCGUUGGAUUAGCUCGUUGGUAGGGUAAUAGCCUACCAAGGCGCCGAGUCAGAGCUGGUCUGUGAGGAUGAGCAGCCACACUGGGACUGAGGCACGGCACAGACUCCUACGGGAGGCAGCAGUGGGGAAUACUGGACAAGGGGCGAAAGCCGGAGCAAGCAAGGCCGCGUGUGUGAUGAAGGUCUUAGGGUUGUAAAGCUCUUUUACCUGGGAUGAUAAUGACGGUACCGGGAGAAGAAGCACCGGCUAACUCCGUG
rnacentral:rRNA from 1 species